GGGCGUUUAGCUCAGCUGGUUUAGAGCAUCUGCCUUACAAGCAGAGGGCCGGCGGUUCGAAUCCGUCAACGCCCACAA
rnacentral:tRNA from 1 species